rnacentral:lncRNA from 1 species
UUUAUUUGCCUUGCAUCCAUAUCUUAUAUUGCCAUUUCUUCGUCUCCAAUCCCAUACCCUUCUUUGAGGUUCUUCAUUUUUUUUUUUUAUAAUCUUUUAUGUGGUUUGUUCUUAAUUAUUUUGUUCCAAGAUGUCUUAAAUUUAUAUGUUUGUGUGUAUUAUUUCUAUAUCCUCAUUAUUUUUACACUAUCUAAACUAUAUGCAGUAGUUCUAUUCAGAUGCAAUUUCAAUUUUCAUUCAAUUGGGAAAUAACGGUGACAACCUCAAUGGCUAGUGGUAGAAAUGUUCUGGUAUUUAUUUUAAUUGUUUUUUUUACUAAUCGUUAAUGUUAAUUUUGCUCAUAUAUAUUUGAGUAGAUACUAAUAAAACUUUUUUGUUGCUUUCUUAUUAUAGAAUUUUCCAAGGGAAUACUCCAGAAAUUGUUUAUCAAACUCUGAAUCUACCAUUCAUCUUUUGGACAUUGUUACUGGAAAAGUGUUUAAGUCUCCGAUCAUUACGUCCACCAAAAAUAAUGAAGACAAGUAUGUUUAUUCUUGCUGGAAGAAGUUUGUGAAAGAAAACAAAUUGAAGUUCAAAGAUAGGGUUAUUUUCAAUGCUCCGGAUGGG